rnacentral:rRNA from 1 species
UACGUAGGGUGCGAGCGUUAAUCGGAAUUACUGGGCGUAAAGCGUGCGCAGGCGGUGCUGUAAGACCGAUGUGAAAUCCCCGGGCUUAACCUGGGAACUGCAUUGGUGACUGCAGCGCUGGAGUAUGGCAGAGGGGGGUGGAAUUCCGCGUGUAGCAGUGAAAUGCGUAGAUAUGCGGAGGAACACCGAUGGCGAAGGCAAUCCCCUGGGCCUGCACUGACGCUCAUGCACGAAAGCGUGGGGAGCAAACAGG